CCUACGGGUGGCAGCAGUGGGGAAUAUUGCACAAUGGGGGAAACCCUGAUGCAGCGACGCCGCGUGAGUGAAGAAGUAUUUCGGUAUGUAAAGCUCUAUCAGCAGGGAAGAAAAUGACGGUAACUGAGUAAGAAGCACCGGCUAACUACGAGCCAGCAGCCGCGGGAAGACGUAGGGGGCAAGGGUUAUCCGGAUUUACUGGGUGUAAAGGGAGCGUAGACGGCCGCACAAGUCUGGAGUGAAAUGCCGGGGCUUAACCCCGGAACUGCUUUGGAAACUGUGCAGCUUGAGUGCAGGAGAGGUAAGUGGACUUCCUAGUGUAGCGGUGAAAUGCGUAGAUAUUAGGAGGAACACCAGUGGCGAAGGCGGCUUACUGGACUGUACCUGACGUUGAGGCUCGACAGCGUGGGGAGCAAACAGGAUUAGAUACCCCUGUAGUC
rnacentral:rRNA from 1 species